rnacentral:rRNA from 1 species
AUUGAACGCUGGCGGCAUGCCUUACACAUGCAAGUCGAACGGCAGCGCGGGAGCAAUCCUGGCGGCGAGUGGCGAACGGGUGAGUAAUAUAUCGGAACGUGCCCAUUAGUGGGGGAUAGUCCGGCGAAAGCCGGAUUAAUACCGCAUACGACCUGAGGGUGAAAGCGGGGGAUCGCAAGACCUCGCGCUAUUGGAGCGGCCGAUAUCAGAUUAGCUAGUUGGUGGGGUAAAGGCCUACCAAGGCAACGAUCUGUAGUUGGUCUGAGAGGACGAACAGACACACUGGCAUGUAUACGCGACCCAGACUCCUACGGGAGGCAGCAGUGGGGAAUUUUGGACAAUGGUCGCAAGCCUGAUCCAGCAAUGCCGCGUGCAGGAAGAAGGCCUUCGGGUUGUAAACUGCUUUUGUCAGGGAAGAAAUCCUUUGUGCUAAUACCUCGGAGGGAUGACGGUACCUGAAGAAUAAGCACCGGCUAACUACGUGCCAGCCGCCGCGGUAA